AGUCAGACUAACAGCAUGUUGCAAAGGAGCAAGGCUGGCUGGAGUGUGUCACCUGAGAGGGAAAGCCGUGCCCCCGGACCCGGGACAGGCUUUCGGCAGGAGGAGCGGGUCACUGCGCAGCCGGGAUCCCGGGGACUGGUGACUGGACUUUCACAACGACGAAGCCAGAAACCCACUGGCGGCACAUAAACCCCAUCUCAUUUUCCCCAGUACAUGAAGCAGAGGCUACUGAGUGAAGCACUGCUUACCUUCCCUUUACAACAGCUUAAGCUGGAAAGAACACAUUCCUGCAACUUCACUUCCCCGGAUCCAUGAAGGAGAAAUUUAAAACUGGCAGAGGGGAGACUUCUCUCCUCCCCACCUCAGGUCCCGGAGGUUUGGCUCUAGCUGGGGUUUUGCUCCUGUGGAGAAAGCACAAGUAAUGAAACAGCUAUAGCUGGUUUAAAAAAAAAAUACAGUCAAUGAAAUAGAUGGGACUCAGUUAUAAAAACAAAAGAAGGAAAAGAGAAAGACAAAUGACCUACACCAGUUAGUGUCAGAGGACUGACACACUGUCCCUGUGAUACGGGAGCCUCUGGGGGGUACCACAAAUAUAUUAGGACAUUCUGCAAGUCCUAAUGUAUUUUUCAAAUAUUUCUGAAAGACUGAAUUAGAAAUAGGGGGGAGGGUGGUAGAGCACGUGCUUAGCACACAUGAGGUCCUGGGUUCAAUCCCCAGUCCCUCCAUUAAAAUAAACAGUCUUUAUUUUUCUUUCUUUAUUUUUUACAUCUUCAUGUUUAUUCCCUUGCAAUUCACUGUAGUUAUCGCAUUUCCAGUUGUCAUUUUCUCAUUUCCAUGGCUUCCUGUUUCUUUUCUAUUUAGAGUAGAAAAAACCUAGUUACCUCUCCUGACCCCCAAAAAAAAAAAAGUAAAAAAAAAAA